rnacentral:lncRNA from 1 species
CCUGACUGGAGCUCAGCGAGCCGAAGGGGCUGGUGGAGAAGGGGCUGCUGGUCUGGGCAGCCUAGGUUGGGAGGGAGGGUCAUGGCGGGAGUGUGGAGGAGCAAGACAUCCCCACGCCCCCCGCCCCCUGCCCCAGACCCCAGUGUUGAUGAAUAAGAAGCGGAUUAAGAAGAGUGAGAGCUGAAGAGACAGGAGAAUCAGGGACCACGAGAGCCCGUGCAAGAUCCGGAGCACAGGGGCUUCCCUGGGUCCCAGGCUUUCUGCAGGACUCACCCCCAACUACCCCGGUGUCCUCCUUCCAGCCAGCCUCCCCGCGGGUCCUGAGAGGAGAGUUUCCUAAAGAGAAGGAAGAAACUCGGACUUCCCUCCUGUUAUGUUCGGGCUCCUCUGUGAGAAAGAGGAGGAGAGAGGAAAAUGAAGGGCCCAUUCUCUGUCCCCAGAGAGCCCCCAGGAAUGUUGGGAAGAUCUGCAAGGAUGAGCCUGAACCUAGAGCGUGACCUGUAGCUGGACCCUGUGGGAACUCACACGUGCCUCCAGGAAGGACAGUGAGCGGAGCAUACACACCAAUUCUACCGAACCCGUUCCCACGCACAGUCGCCCCCACCCCGUGGUUCCAGAACUGGUGGGUUCUUGAUCUCGCUGACUUCAAGCAUGAAGCCAUGAACCUUCACUGGGUGAAGGGGCAAGACCUUUGCAGUGAGCGUCACGGCUCUUAAAGGCGGUGUGUCUGGAGUUACCCACUCCUCCUGGGGAGUUCAUAGCCUCACUGGCUUCAGGAUUGAAGCUGCAGACCAUCCCGCUAGACACAAAAGUUUUCCAAGUCCCCAGCCGUCACAGAAGCCCAGUCAUCUUCAGUUCUCACUGGCAAUCGCUGCAGGAGUUUGCAGCACCUAGCCUGGGCACUCCGGCAGCCCAGAGAAAGCUCCUAGACAACCAAGAAGAAAAGAGGGGAAGCGAGAAAGACACUGAGACUAGCCAUGGUGACCAAUGACCCUGCGAAGAGGGAACGGGGUCCAUGCACGGGACCCAGCCUCCUAUGAAGCCCAGCAGGUGCCGGCCUGCCGAGCCCGCGCCCACCCGGAACCAGCGUCGGCCCACGAGCGCCGAGCGCAGCCCUGGCUCCCACCUGCGCCUCUCCCUCCACACCUCCCCACGAGAAGAGGGAGUGGACUCCUGCCUCGGCCAGCCCCAAAGAGGGGCCUCCACACCGCAGCGCGGGCUGAAGGGCUCCUCCAGCACGGCCAGAGCGGAUGGUGAGGCCGAGGAGGCGCCCAGAGCGAGCAAGAGCUGCUAGCACGUUGUCACCUCUCACCAGCAUCACUAGCUCGAGGCUCCAUAGUGUUUAUAUGGGGGCCUGGGGGGGCGCAGUAUCAAGCUGCACGCAGGCUGGGACUUGGAGUGAUUUCCCAGCACCCUGUGGCCCUGAAAGGCCCCUGGCCCCAGAAGGACCCACCUGUGAUCUAGAGAACGAAGCUCCUCCCCUUCACCGCUCAACCUGGCCAGCAAGCAAAUGAUGAAUGAACCGUGGAGAAUGUCUGUCGAGGGGCCCUGGCUGAGGGCAGCGGCAGGUGGGCACAUACCCAUGCUGCUCCCACCCCUGCCAAUCUCAAGGAGAACCUGGCUCACCGGUUGGAGGCUGUGGAGAGAGAAAGCUGGGCCCCGAAGCCAUAUGGCAUUUGUUGGCACACAACCUGGCUGGCCUCCAGCCAGUCAGCGCCUUCAUCUGACUUGGCAUAAAAAUGACAACAGCGCCAGGCACUGUUCUAGGAUGCACACAUCCAUACACAGUCCUUACAGGGCUCUUUGAGGAAGGAUCGUCAUCUCCACUUUACAAGUGAGAAAACUAGGGCAUAGAGAGGUAAAUGAUUUGCCUUCAGCCGCCCAGCUGGGAGGCCAUGGCGCCAGGACAUGGACCAUUGGCUUGGGCAGCCUGGUAGUAGAAGCUCUGUGCUGACCACCAUGCUACAUGGCCUCUCUCAGGUCCUCCAGGCCCUUGGCCCUUCCCAGGUCAGGUUCACAUUGUGCAGGUGGCCUGGUGGAUGGCCCUCUAGCCUCUGCCUGAAGACAGCCAGCGUGGGUGCCCACUCCACUGCUCCUGACCUGGCUCUGUGGGGCAGAAGGCCGUCCUGGACAGGGUCUGAAGCAGUUCUUCAGGGCGUCAUCUGCCCACUCAGCCUCUGCUGCCUCCUGCCCCUUCUGCCUCUUGGUGGCCUUCUGGAGACUUGAAGAGAAUAGUCACAAUGCCUGUGGACCUGCUCACCCGUCGGUCCACACAGCCCUGGCCCAGACUGAGAGGGACCAGUCGUGAGACCAACUGUGUUCCAGGCCCGGGCUUGGACUUUUCGUUAGCUUUAAAAAUCUUGUGUUUGGGUUGUGACUAGCAUUUAAUAUUUUUUGAUGGAAUAGAAGAGAAUAGAAGCUAGAGCAUGAGUCAGUAUUGCUUCUUGAAGCUUUUAACUCCAUGUUACAUACAUGCACGUGUUUAUGCUGAGUCAGAGUGAAAAAUGAACUUCUCACUAUGGGAAAGUGAACAAGUUUGAAGGACACUCAGUCCUGUAGAUUGCCUUCUCCUUUCUUGCAUCCUAUUUUGGUUCCUGCAUUGACCCCCAGCCAGCCCAGGUCUCCCCUCAGGCUGAGCUCAGAAGCCUCCCGCUCCCGGCCCUGCUGAGCCAUGUCGAGAUCUGGGCACACAGGGAGACAGGAAGCCUUGUGGACUGGGCGAUGAGAAAAGGAACCGCUGCAUAAUGUACGCUCACCAUGUGCCAGGCUCUGUGCUGAAUGCUCCACUUCCAUCGUCUGUUAAGUCUCAUGAAGUAGGUGGCGUGUUCGCUCCGUUCCGCAGAUGAGGAAACAGGCGCGGGCUCUUCACCUUCUUGCUCAGUCAUGACACUCAUGGAAACGUCAUAACUGAGUUUAAAUCUGGGUCUUGGAGCUUCCCGGGUCACUCUCUUCACACCAGCCUGCAGCACUGCUUGGGAGCGGUGAGCACCCAGGCAAGCAGUGAUUAGGUGCUUGCCUGAUCCUCCCACCUCACCUCCCUGAUCACCUCCUCCUCUUCCUCCCUACACCCAGAGCAAUGGCUCCUGUCGAGUUCCUCCCUCUAGGGCCCAAGGGGUUCAGUGAAUCUAAUUGGAAGCAGCUUUUUAGUCCUGUGACCCAGAGGCUUGCUGAGGGCGUGGGGAGGGGACCAGAUUGUGGAGAGCCAGGCCUGAGGCCAGCAGAGUCUAUUGCGCAACCUGCAGGCUGCACAGCCCCAGCCCUGGGGGUUGCAUUUCUCCCUUUACCUUUUCCCCAUUCAAUUCACAAUAGCGGUCUGGUGGCAGACACCACAUUCCUGGCACUGUGGAGGCUAAGUCACCAAGAGGGCCGCACACUCCCUCAUAGAGCUGCUCAGAGCUCUCUCCACCGUGGCCCGGGGCUCAGGCUUCAAAGUGGAGGGCCUCUUCCUCUCUUGCCUCUCCCUUCUUGGAGGCAUGGGUUCCGGAGUGGGCACUACGUUUGUCGUUAGUUGCACUUGGGUUCAAGCCAGGUUUGGGGGCACAGGAAGAUAUGGUGGCUAUUCAACUAUUCAACCCGCCCCCUCAAAUAAAAUCCCACUAUGACUGAAAAUAAAUCCUAUUAUUUGUGAAGUCCUCCCCAUUUCACUCAAAGUAAAACACCAAAGGCUUUACAAUGGCCUACGCAGGACUACAAAGACCUCCGAGUCUUGCCUCUCUGGACGAAUCUUCUUUCUUUUCUUUCUUUCAUUGCUCACGCAACUCCAGCCUUGCUGACUUCCUUGCAGUUCCUGCCCCAGGGCGUUUGCACUUGUCACUCCCUCUGCCUGGAGCAGGUUCCCUCAGACACCCAUAUGACUCACUCACCUCUUCACUCUUAGUCCCACCUGCAGCCUCUGCAGUGGCUUUUGCUAUUUCUUCACUUUAUUUUUUUCUCCAUGGUGCUUACUACUAAAAUGCCACAUAACUUGUUUAUUUACUUUGUUGUAUCAUUUCUGUUUCUCCAUUAGAAUGUAAGCUGCAUAAGGGUGGAUUUUUUGUUCCGUUUGUUCAGCAGUGCCUAGCACAGAGCAGGCAUGAGAAAAAUGUUUGUGGAAAUGAAUUGAAAUUGAAUUAAAAUAGUCAUAAGGAUGUCCAGAA